rnacentral:rRNA from 1 species
GCGCUUCUUGGAUAGGCCAGGAAGCAUGCCUCUUUGAGCAUCGUUUUCACCUCAGCUCGACUGCUUUCUUGUAAUGAGAUUGUUUCAGUUCGGAUAAUGAUGUCGUCUCGCUUCGAAAUGGAGCGGGUCACUUUAAAUGUGGUGAGCUCUUUGUUUCAAUUUACUCGAUUAGCGCCUGUUUUUUUCUUUCGAGAGAAAUGGGGCCUGUUCAAUUCGAACUAAUCGCUUUUGAGUAACGUGGAUAAUUUCUAUUUACGUUAUUCGAUGGGCUUGAUUGGAUUGACGAAUAUGGUAACUGCUUUUGGAUGUAAGAAACAAUAUCUAUAGCUCUACAGAAAACGGAAAUUAAUUAAUUCUUCUUUUAUUGCUUUUCGGAGUAAUGAUCGAAUAUUUUUUUUGAAUUAGAUCUCAAAUGAAGCAAGACUACCCGCUGAACUUAAGCAUAUUAUUAAGCGGAGGAAAAGAAACUAACAAGGAUGCCCUCAGUAACGGCGAGUGAAGCGGGCAAAGCUCAACCUGAAAAUCGGAUAUCCAAGCGGGUGUUCGAAUUGUGGGCUAGAGACGCAUGAUCAGUGUGUGACCUAGGUAUAAAUCUUUUGAAACAAGGUAUCACAGAGGGUGAGAAUCCCGUCUUUGACCUAGAGUUUCGCCACGUACGAUCUGUGUUCACAGAGUCGAGUUGUUUGGGAUUGCAGC